UGUGACUCAGUGGUAGAGUGCUUGACUGGCAUGCAGGAGGCCCUGGAUUCUAUUCCCAGCA
rnacentral:tRNA from 1 species